GUGGGGAAUCUUAGACAAUGGGCGCAAGCCUGAUCUAGCCAUGCCGCGUGAGCGAUGAAGGCCUUAGGGUUGUAAAGCUCUUUCAGUGGGGACGAUAAUGACGGUACCCACAGAAGAAGCCCCGGCUAACUUCGUGCCAGCAGCCGCGGUAAUACGAAGGGGGCUAGCGUUGUUCGGAUUUACUGGGCGUAAAGCGCACGUAGGCGGAUCGUUAAGUCGGGGGUGAAAUCCUGGAGCUCAACUCCAGAACUGCCUUCGAUACUGGCGAUCUUGAGUCCGGAAGAGGUGAGUGGAACUCCUAGUGUAGAGGUGGAAUUCGUAGAUAUUAGGAAGAACACCAGUGGCGAAGGCGGCUCACUGGUCCGGUACUGACGCUGAGGUGCGAAAGCGUGGGGAGCAAACAGGAUUAGAAACCCCAGUAGUCC
rnacentral:rRNA from 1 species